ACUGUGCCUCUAGGUGUGGUUUCGUGCUGACUACUAUUGUUUAGCAUAGUUUUAGGCGCGUAGAAAUUUAGUUGUAUUCGGUGUGUCGCUAUGAAUAUUCUUCUUCUUAUUUAAAUUAAUGCAACGAAACUUGUGUCAAAGUCCUCAAUAUGGCAAUGCAACUAUACCCAAUAUUAUGACUGAGGGAAACAAACACAGCUGAUGUUUACUCACAUGGGUUAUACUCUUUCAACUUUUGAGCAACUUUGUCAACAAAACACUUCCAGUCAAAUUUUGCCCGUUCAAAAUUCUCCGCUCUUGGAUUUCGAUGUAAAUUUGAUGCUGUAACGGCCGAUUCAACGCUUUGCGAGUCAAAAAGG
rnacentral:sRNA from 1 species